AAUUUACUGCCUAACAUUUUUGCCCGAUUCCCUCUCUCUCUCUCCAUGUGCACACAUGCACGCACACGCACGCACACACACACACUCUUGUUUUCCUGAACCACAUGAAGAAGCUUCAUAGGUCACGUCCUUUGGCCCCCAAUGCUGUGAAUCGCCUGAGCUGGAGAUGUCAUCUUACAUGAUCACGGUAGAGUCAUCAACAGCAUAAAUUCAAAGCUGAUGCGAACCUCCUUUUCCGCCCCGGCACCCUUUUCAUGAAGAAUGCUCGCAAGGAAACUGUGUGCUCUGUGGCUGCACACUCCAGUGGCCAAGCCCUUGCAGCAGGUGCCGUCCUGUGAGACGUACCCAGUCCCCCAAGGGGAGCUCGGUCUGCAGGAGAAACCGGACAGCACACCCUCCCCGGGGCUCUUUCCACCACGUGUGUUUUGGAAUCAUCUUUUCUCUGUUGGUCAAACAAAUGGCAGUCUUGGGUGUGCUGGGUGUGGCGAAGGCUGCUUCCAGGUGGCUGUGAUACAUUGUUGACUGAAAUUAGAGUCUGGGGAUCCUGUGACCUUUGUGUCAUCACGGAAACUCUGAUGUGCACGACUCUCCAGGGCUCCGUGUCCUCCCGCCUGGACUGUGGCCCCAAGGUCUUCCAGGGCCAGCUCCAUUCCUGCAGUCAGCUCUCAGCUUCCUUCCCUGGGCUCUGCACACAAUGGUGCCCAUUGUUUCCUUGCACGGCCUGGAAGCGCAUUGGCCUGAUUCUAGCCCCAGAGGCCAGGGCAUGGGCCUCUGUUACUCCCUCUGCAUGCCUAGCCUGUGAUGCAGUUGUCACCAACUUCACUGAUUGCCAAUGUCUGUUGCCUCCACAGUUGCACCCAGCACCCUGGGCUCCCUCUAGGAUGGUGAGGCCCAGAGAAGGCAAAGUGACAGUAUACAGUGGGAGUUGAAGGGGCUUCUGGACUGGGUGGGUCGUCCUGGGGAGCAGAGAACCCAACUUCCUCGCCUGGGUGGCGUUUCCUCUCUUCCUCCUUGAAGCACAGCAAUUAUCUUGACCCUUCCGGUCUCCCACGGAGGCUUCUCCCACAGCUCCUCUCAGGGCCAUCUCCCCUGUCCAAAAGAGCUGCAAGGGGAAAAACAGGGGUUUGUGGAUGCAAAAUGAGGUCCUCCAUCUGGUUGCUGAGACUCGCAAUCUAGCCACCAAGAGGGAACAGUGUGGGGUGCAGCGAACUGCUCAGGGCGUCUCGUUGCGCUCUCCCAGGCCCCAGUGCACUGGGAAUCCAGGGGCUGGGGAUCCAGCCAGGCUGCAUGUGUCUGCGUGACUGGCAAAUGCUCUGCUGCUCGCUGGCACUGGUUGCCUCUUCUGCAAGGUGGGAACAAAAGGACCCGUGAGGACUGAGGGACGCAGCCACAGCGGGGCCUCCCUGGGGUAUGCCCAGGUCGGGAAACGGGGCCUCUGCAGCCAGAGGGACCCACAUGCAUUCCCACUCCCUCCUGCAAUCUGGCUGGCUGUGGAUGGUGCACAGCCCUUCUCCCAAGCCUUUGUUUUCCCAUCUGUAAAUUAGCUACAAGAAAUAGUCCAAAGCCUACAGGUUCUGCAUCUGUGCAUUGAAAGGGUUUGAAACAAAAAUGACUCCUGCACUGAGUUCCCACAGACUUCUUUUCCUUGUCGUUAUUCCAUAAACGAUGUAACAACCAUUUACUCGGUGUUCACACUGUAUUGGGCAUUGCAACUAAGGUAGAGAUGAUGUGAAGCGCACAGGAGUAUUGUCUGGGCUACAGGAAACACUACACCAUUUUUAUAGAAGGAACCUGGGCACCUCGGGAGUUUGAUAUCCACAGGGGUUCUGUAGUCAAUACCCCACGAAAACCGAGGAGCGGCUGUACCUGUUUAUUUCUCAGGGCCACUGGUAGAACCAAAGAGAACAUAACAUUUUAACCUAGAAUCUCAUUCAGGUCAUUAUUGCUGCUUAAAGCCUUAUAUGUUUAGAUCCUGCUAUCUCCUACAGAAAUAAGAUGAUAGUUUUGAUUAGGUCUAACACGACACCCAAACCCUGAAUAUAAGGACAGGCAUAGUCAACCGAAUCUACAUCUGCCACUGGUCUCAUGAGACAUCGACAUCCUGUGCAACAAAACAGCUGGUGGAAUGACCUUGACCAUUUGCGGGCUGUGGUGUUGUGAGGACCUAUCCUUAGGGAAUGAUGGGGGUCACUGCCUUCCACUCUUGCUCUGUCUCCUCCUUCCAACGUCGCUUUGCCCAGGGUGGUUCAGACCUGCAUGCGCUCUGCCUCCACCGUGCAUCUUCCAUGGGCCCGGCAGGCCUCCACUCAGACACCUGCUCCUGGGAUGCGUAAUCUACGGUGUCCUGCCUUGGAGGAGCACUCCCUCACACUCAGUCUAGGUUGCUUGGUUUGUUUGUACACAGAUGGAGGUAGUCGGCCUGUGGCUCAGAGAGGCAGGCGGGAAGUGACCUUCCAUGACUUGAUUCCACGGGCUUGUUUGCAAGAACCCAGACACACAAGCGGCCACUGACGAUAUGUGUUCCGACAUCAUAUAUGGGGCAUAUUUUGCUCAGAAACAUGCCCUGUUAGUUGUUGAAACCUCUUUUGCAUUCCCUGAAACAAAUGACACUAUGGGGUAUUUUCUUUUGGGGAGCAGUAAAUAAAAGUCUUUUAUGUUGACAAUGAUAAUAUUAUAUUCUACAAUCUAUUUGCAUUUCUCUAUUCUGUGGAUUUUAUUGCUUGGUAUAAAUCCCCAGGCUGAGGCACAUCAAGCUUCACUCAUGGAGAAAGAGCACAUUUUACUGUAGGACUGGACUGUCACAGGUUCGAGAUGCUCUCUGCCAGGGUUGGGGUUUGCCUGGAUGUGCAGGAGACGUGCGUAGAUAAGGAGAAAUGCAAAUGUAUGUGCAGUUUUGGGCACAUGCACACGAAGCCUGCAAGGACUUUUUCUGGAUCCAUGAUCAGAAUGAUUUUCAAGAGAGAGCUGGUGUGAACACACACUUCUUGGGCGUGCUCCAACUGACCGCUUCCCCUCCAGCCAGGUCCACAGGAAAGCCACCAGCACCUGCUGCAGCUCUGGCCAGAGUUCUUGGGCAGAAAACUGGAAAGAGGACAGAAAAGUAUCUUCGAGGCUUAAAGUAGAGUUGAGUCUCUCACCAGCUUCCUGCGGGUCUUCCAACUACGUCUGAGCAUAGGAGCAUCUUUUCCCAACAGGCAAGUCAGGAGGUACUGAGGUGAACCAUGGCACGAGCUUGAGCCAGAGUUAAUAUUAACCCCUGACUGUUCACUGAGCGCCUACUAUGGGCCAUGUUUUGUGCUAAGCAAUAUCUCAUUUAACCCUCUCAACAAGCCUACGAGGGCUCUGAGUUUGCCUCCGGGUGGAAGAGAAGAGGAGGCGCAGUCCACCGUCCCCGCAGCCUGGUGAAGAAGUGCACUCCUGAGGCUGGAAAAAUCGAGCAAAACCAUCUGGCUGAGUGGGCUCGGAAGCGCCGGGAUCGAAGUCACGUGUGAGCUCCGAGCACGGGCAGCCUUGUCUCUUCUCAGGCUGCAAAUCUUUGGCAAUCAAAGGCAGGCUCUGAAUUAAGCUUAAUUAAAAUUCACUCUUAAUUAGGGCCAUUACUUAAAA